rnacentral:rRNA from 1 species
GACAGAGGUGCCAAGCGUUAGGCGGAAUCACUGGGCUUAAAGCGUGUGUAGGCGGACUUGUAAGUACCUUGUGAAAUCCCACGGCUCACCCGUGGAACUGCUGGGUAUACUGCGAGUCUUGAGCCACUUAGGGGCUGUCGGAACAGGCGGUGGAGCGGUGAAAUGCGUAGAUAUCGCCCGGAACGCCAAAGGUGAAAACAGACAGCUGGGAGUGUGCUGACGCUGAGACACGAAAGCCAGGGGAGCGAACGGG